UGCUGACUUCUUAACUGGAGUAUGUGCACGUUCUGUGUCGGUUGUUAUUCAUCCACCUGUGCACUUUUUGUAGAAGCUUUUGUUAGGUUGGCUUGAAUGGGUUCUUAGUUGAACUUGUUUAGUUGACUUGAUAAGACUUCUAUGUCUUUACAAACCAUUGAAGUAUGUUCAGAAUGUCUUUUAUUGGGACUUAACUGGCCCUUUAAACUUUAUACAACUUUCAGCAACGGAUCUCUUGGCUCUCCCAUCGAUGAAGAACGCAGCGAAAUGCGAUAAGUAAUGUGAAUUGCAGAAUUCAGUGAAUCAUCGAAUCUUUGAACGCACCUUGCACCCUCUGGUAUUCCGGAGGGUAUGCCUGUUUGAGUGUCAUUAAAUUCUCAACUUCAAAAGUUUUUAUUAACUUAUUGAAGCUUGGAUGUGGGGGUUGCUGGCAUCUUAGAUGUUCAGCUCCUCUUAAAUGCAUUAGUGGAACCCGUUUUGUUGGGCCACCUUGGUGUGAUAAUUAUCUACGCUUUGGUUGGUUUGACUUUCAGGUAAAGCUCUUAACUGAGGUUUAUUCUGGUUGGGAUACUGCAACUA
rnacentral:rRNA from 1 species